rnacentral:rRNA from 12 species
CAAAAAAAACACAGUCCUGCAAGUUUCUGAUCCCAUCAGAUCUCGGCAGCUAAGCAGGGCCGGGCCUGGUUAGUACAUGGAUGGGAGAUCAAGGACCAGACACUGAGGGUGC